rnacentral:rRNA from 1 species
UACGUAGGCAGCAAGCGUUGUUCGGAAUUACUGGGCGUAAAGAGUGUGUAGGCGGUGCUCUAAGUCUGUUGUGAAAUCUCCCGGCUUAACCGGGAGGGUGCGGCGGAAACUGGAGUGCUUGAGUAUGGGAGAGGUAAGCGGAAUUCCUGGUGUAGCGGUGAAAUGCGUAGAUAUCAGGAGGAACACCUGUGGUGUAGACAGCUUACUGGACCAUCACUGACGCUGAGACACGAAAGCGUGGGUAGCAAACAGG